GUGAGUGCAGGGGUCCCUGAACAGAACAGUUUACCCUCCCUCCCCAGAGACACCUGGCAAUGUCUGGAGGGUGGGCUAGUGGCCGGUGGCCAGGGACGCUGCUAAACACACUGCAAUGCCCAGGACAAAGCCCACCACAGGGAGCGAUUCAGCCCAGAAUGUCAGCAGUGCUGAGGGUGAGAAACCUAUGCAUGUGGCAGUGCUGGCCUCCAGGAGGAGCUCAGGAGACAGCCCAACCCCCUUCCUGCCCACAAGGGGGCGAUGGUCCUCUCCUGUAGCUUGCUCCGAUUUAAGGGCCUUUUGCUGUCCGCUGCUGGUGAGUGACCCGGUGCCCUGGCUUUAGGAGUCGGGGCCUGAGGGCCUCGUUAGCUCCCCGAAUUCUGUGCACUCAGAGUGCAGUUCACCCCCGCGCUCCCCACUGUUGUAGAGCAGGGUCUGCAAAGCCAGGAGGGGGGAUUGCUGGAUUUGGCGCUAGCAGGCUUGGUCUUGGCGUCACUGGUAAUGCACAGGGUGGUAUCUGGGGUAGAAAGAGACGAAUCAGGCCGAUUAGCAGCGAGGUGGCGGCUGCGGUGCGGAGCGCCCCUGAGUCGCGAGGCUCCGGGACCUGCUGGUCAGCAGCAGAGGCGUGACCAAGACGCAGCCUCACACCGUGCCCCGUGGCCUGGGCCUUUCGGAGCUGCCCUCUUCAGAAGGCUCUCCCAGGCGCAGACCACCCCAUCCCCAAGCCCCAGCACGCUGGCCACUCCGCACUGGACAUCGAGGGGUCGUGCGGGGUGUGGUGUCCACGCCAGACUGAAGUUCAGGUCAGAGGGGCUCAGCCUGAGGCUGUAAGGAGAUGGAUGGGUCAGUAGGUUAGUGGCGGUAUCUCUUGGGAGGGAAUCACAGGGAAUUUUUACUUCUCAGUUAGCUUCUGCAUUUUAAAAACUUCUGCCAUGAGUAUGCAUUUCUGUAACCAAAACCUUAUUAGAGUGGAAGCUUAGCGAGGCAGGUUUGCAAAAGGACCCUGCCUGACUCUUGACCCGCCUGUGUGCCUAAAUGCGCAUGCAGCUGGGGCUUGGUCAGCCGUGGUGACCUCCUGAAGCUAUUUACAACCUGUAAGCGGUGUGUGCUCCUCCACGGGAUAUCUCAGUUCUCUGACUCUCAGGUUCUUCUUCUGUGGAGAAAAAGGGCAGAUAUGUUCUACAAAUGUCCACAGUUCCCCGUGGAGAAGGUACCUCUGGGCAUGAACAUGUGCUGGAGUGGCAUGAUGCUGGGGUCUGCCCCUCACAGCUCAAUCUCAAAGACUCCAAGCAGAGCUGCCUAUUUUAUAUUUUUCUUCCCUUCUGAAGACAUUGGCUGGCACUUGGCCUUGGUCCAGGGUGUACGCCUUCUUCAACCUGUUGACUGCAGAGUCCUCACAUUGCUUUGGGCUUGGUCCAAGUCUGUGCUUGAGUGGAGGACGGGGCUUUGAGAGGGUCCACACACCCCUUCUUCGCAGCCACGCACCUUCUUUUCCUUGCCAAGCUCUCCCUUCUCCUACUGUGACAACGAAGCAGCUGCUUCAACCUCUUCUGUAACCUGGGCUCUCCCAUCUGUCUUCAGUUUUUCCCAUGCUCAUAGCUGGUUAGAAACUUGCGGAGGGGUGUUUUUCAGACGAACUUGAGUAACUUGCCCUCGUAGAUUAGUUAAGAGUCUGUAGGUCUCGAAGGGAUUUGUGGAAAAGACCCAGCAGAGUCUGCGAGAACCCGAGGCGGCUGUGGCUGGAGCCAGGUGAGCCACAGGUUAGGGGAGUCUGGGCCUCAUCCUCUGUGAGGGUGGAUGCUCUACUGCUGUCCUCUGCCUCGGGCCCUCAUCUGUGAAAUGGGGGAACAGUGAGGACUGCCCUCCCGAGGUCGUCAUGAGGCUUAAUGUGUGAAUGCACCGACCACUCAGAGCAGCCCUCACUGCAGGGAGCAGUGUGUGUGUGUGUGUGUGUGUGUGUGUGUGUGUGUGUGUGUGUGUGUGUGAUUGUAGCCACCGGGCUUCGCUUUUCUCCACCAGCUCCUUCUUCACGGGGAAGCAAGGAGAGGCAUGGGAGGGAGGGAAGGAGAAUACUAGAAAAAAGAGGCAGAGGGAGGUCCCUGGGGAAGGGUUUCUGCCACUCAUGCAUGGGUGGCCUGGGGUCCAAACUUGGGGUUUUACACCAGGGCGUGUGAGCAAGGGGCGGCGGCCAGGGGCAGAGCAUUUGCAGACCGCGCGCAGGUCUGGACAGAGCAGGAAGACGCCAAGGCUCUGCCUCCUCCCAGCUGUCAAGGCCCGAGGCAACAGGUCAUCCCUUCUGAGUCCCUGAGAAAUUGGGAGGUGCUAGUGCAAGGGCACAAAGUUUCAGUUAUGCCAUAUGAAAACAGGUUCUGGAGUUCUGUUGUAUAAUAUGGUGCCUGUAGUUAACAAUACUGUAUUGUGUGCUUAAAAUUUACUGAGGAUGGCUCCUAUCUUAAGCGUUCUUACCAUACACACAAAGAAUGAUGAUAAUAGGAAUAAUAAUAAAUAAAGGAAAGAAUAUGUCGGGAGGACACCUUUGGAGUGACACAUAUGUUUACAGUGUAGAUUGUGGUGAUGGUUUCAUGGGUGUAAUCUGUCUCCAUACUCACAAAGUUGCAUGUAUUAAUCAUGUGCAGCUUUCUGUAUGUCAAUGAUACCUUCAUAAAGUGGUUUAAAAAAAUAAAAUGGGGGGGAAUAUAGUCACUCCAAGUACUGAGCACGUUGCCUGUCACAGUAAAUAAGUAAAUAAAUGUAAUUAUGGUUUAACCUUAGCUCAGGACUGAGAGUGGGUCCCACAGGUACUUGGCAGGUGGUGUCUGUGGCCAGCUCCUCCACCCUGGCUCAGCACUGCUUCUGUGAAGCACAAGGGCUCCCCAAACACAGAGACCAGCUCCAGGUGCAGCUCCUGACAAAGAAGGUGGGCUGGUCGCAGACACCUUGUUUUGGUUACUUGCUAUUCCUUCCCCCACAUGCCCUUUCAUUGUCCUGGUCCUUAACCUUUAACUCCUGUAAGAAGCUGGGUUUGCAGAUUUCUGAAGACAUUUUGCAGUGUGCAGACCUGUUUCACCUUUGUUCCCCAUCCUUGGGUCUGGAGAUAAAGGCGGGAAGACAGUACUCUAUGAAAGGAACAAUCAUAAACCUCAGGUAUGCUCACCCUCAGGUGCCUCAGACUUCAAAGAAAUGGCAAACUAGGCAUCUCAUUUUAUACAUGGCCCUCUUUAAGUACACUUGUAUGUACAUGAAAUGAAAUUGUACUGAAGUAAAUCUUAUUGCUGAACGUUUGCUUUCCGGAAGACACUUUGGUGUAAAAGUUCCUAAGAAAAUUUGUUUUUUUAAAGGACCAAAAGUGGGGUGAAUGUUUCAUGGGUAAAGACCUUUUUCGUAACGAGUGAAGGUGAAAUGAGCAGACUGUGCGACUCAGAUUCCAGCUGCAUCCCUGUCACUGCCCUCGGGAGUGUGCCGGAAGGACCCCAGAGAGCUGGCCCGCUGGGAUGAGCUUGUAGCCUUGGGGCCCCAAACUGGAAGGAUGGUCAGCAUUCCUGGUGCUCUGGGUUCAGCAAGACCUGACUGAGGGACUCUCUUUUCUGGUUGUUGGCUGAGUAUGUAAUGUCCGCUCUGGGUCAUCUAAGGGCCGAGACCAAGUACUCUGUUCCUGCUGUGACCCGUGCUUCUGCUACCACGUGCUGCACAAGCCUGCACGAUGGACGGGACUCACCUGGUACAAGUGACGCGGGGUCGAGCUGGACUGUUGGUUUUCUGCUCCGCCUCUGCUUCCUCUCCGCAUCCUGGACUCUAAAGAAGAUGAAUGAAAUGUCUGCUCUGGUUGCUGGCUGUUUCAUCGCCAACUUAACCUCAGUCUGUGGUUGUGGAGGACCUCAGAAGUCAGGAAGGUCCCCUGACGCCAACCUGGGGAGGGUGGGGCUGGACCCAGGUUCCAGCCCAGCCCUGACACGCAGUGCGCUCAGUGGGACAUGUUGGCACGCAUGCAAGGCUGUAGCGCUGCCAGCCCCCAUAUGCUGCCUUCUUGAGGGCUGGCGGUGCCCUUCAGGACUGGCUGCAUCCUUUGUCCCAUUUGAGUGGGCAGUAGUAGAUAAUAAAAUCUCAGAAUAUCCCUUGAUCCCUGACCAUCCAGGCAGGCAUCUGUGGUCCUCCAGCUCAGGCCUGCCUGGGCCCUGUCAAGCCCCUGUGGCCAAUCACUGAGCUGACCUUGCUGCUGGGCAAUUGAACAGCUACCUGGGCAACGUAGACGGCCCCUUGGGAUGUUUCAGUUCCCUACAUCCAUGUGAUUGAGAAAAGGGCCUCCUCCCUAAUAGCCUCUCAGCCUUCCGAGAGGAAGUAACCCUCCAGACAUUGAGUGUGGCCCUGGCCACAACCAGCAUACAGCAGACCGUGGCCCUGCCAUCCUCUGGCCUUCGGGUUGUUGAAAACCUUUGACAUUCAUACUCAUUAAAAAUCAAAGGUAUGGGAGCAAGUGGCUUCCCAGCUGGUGUUUUCACUCUGAGGCCACGUGGUCUCCAGGAGCCACGUGCAUCCCGGGCCCAGUCCCUGCAGCCUCCGGAAAGCCAGCCAACUGUGGAUUCCAUGGUAUAGAAUCAUCCUUGAGACACUGCUCCGUUGAGUAACAGUUUCCUUACCACCUACCAUUUGGUUUCUGUUCUCUGUAAAGGAGAGAGCAGAGACUGGAAAAUGAGCAAAUGUGUUCUGUGGAGAUGGGUGAUUAAUAUAGUCAGAGGGCAGGUGUGACUCCUGGGCUCCCACCUCCCAGGGACACAAAUGAAGUCUGUGUGCCUUUUGAGGUACACUGGCAAUCAGGGCCAGCCUCUGAUGUGAGGCACCGAUGCCCAAAGCAAGAGUCUUGAGUUUACCACCAACAGCAAAGUUGCUAUUUUAGCAAGUGGAAGAGCUUCCUGCCAUCAAGGGAGGACAGCAAGAGCCCUGGAUGGGUGACCACAGUCACUGACCUUAACUGAACCUCUUCUUUUCUGUUAAAAUGGACAUUGAGUGGGUGUCGCCUGGAGUUUCUGGAAGCCCUGGAUGCAGUGAGAGAGAGUGUUCCUGUGAAUGGGGCCACCCAAAGGCAUUUAGCAGGACAAAGGAUUGGAGGGAGACCAGAUCACACUGCAAGAGAGUGAGCCACCAGAACUGCCAGGUCCAAAUCCACUCUUAAACCUGUCUCUUGCAGUUAUUAAUUUAUUUCUAUCAUUUAAAAAUAAUGUUUUAUUUUACUUUAGUAAGUGUGUCCAGUCCAUUGGAAUCAAAAAAGUCAUAGCUGAUACAUCAGAACGGAUAAUCCCUGAGACUCCCUUGGGUGCCCUACUGGAUGGGGCAUGGCUGGGAGAGAUGAAGACACUGAGCAGGGUCCGAACUUAGGGGAACUGCCAGACUGCUGUGUCUCUGUUCCUUCCCUGUCCCAGGAGAGCGAAAUCCCGGAACAAUGAAAGGACAAGCAAAAUGGGGAAGAGGUCUUUUGGUGGCUUAACUGUUGUGUUUGUAUUUUCCUUUGUUAUGUUCCAUUUUGUUAAUGUGUGUUUUUACUGGGAAGUUACCCAUUUCCUCUAGAUUUCUAGUGUGAUGCAAUAGGUUUCUCAUUCUAGUUUUCAACUGAAUUGUCACUUAUUAACUGACAUCCAAAUUUCAUUUGGGUUUCCUUCAUUCUAAAUUUUUGUCUUCCAGGAUGCCAUCCAGUGUAUCACGUGACAUUUAGUCAUCAUGUCUGUUUAGGCUCUUUUGGGCUUUCACAGUUUCUCAGACUGUCCUUGUUUCUAUGACCUUGACAUUGGUGAGGAGUACUGGUCAGAUAUUUUGUUGACUGUCCCGCAUUGGAAUUUACUUGGUGUUUGUCUCAGGAUUAGGCUUGAGUUAUGGGUUUUGAGUAAGCAGAUCACAGAGGUAAAGUGCUUUCUCAUCACUUUAUAUCAAGGGAACAGGCUCUCAAGGCAACUUAUCACUGUUACUAUUAACUUUGGUCACCUGGCUGAGGUAGUUUUUCAGAUUUCCCCACAAUGAAGUUAAGUUUUUCCCAUUUCCGUGCUGUGUGUCUUCUUUAGGAGGAAGCUACUUUGGGAACCAGCACUUAUGGAGACAGGAGUUAUCUCCACCUCCACAAUCCAUGGAUGGCUGAGUGUCCACAUGAAUUAUUUGGACUUCUGCAUAGGAGAUUUCUAUUCAACCUUAUUGAUGAAAACAAACAAAACAAAACCCUAUGCAGUUACUUAUUUUUACCAGCAUGGACACCUGUGGACAGUUUUUUUUGUUUGUUUUUCUUUGUUUUUUUAACUUUUUGUUAUAAUCCAGCAGUCCAGAUUUUGUUGCUAAGUUCAUUCCUACUUUGGCUAUUGAGAGCUCUUUCCAUUGGCUCCUGUUUUCCUUUGACAUCAUUCCACCCUGUGGAUUUUUUUUUCUUGAUACUUCCUUAUUUUCUGAUAUAAGAUUCAAGAUUGUCCUGGCUCAUAUAUUUACUGUGUCAGUCCUAGUGCCAGCCAUUAUUUCAAAGAGCUCUGGUUUUUUUUACUAGAGAAUGUUAUGAAAAAGUUACAUAUAGGAGCUAAAAGUGCUCAGCUGAUAAUGCAAGGAAAUAUAUGCAUGUAUUCCCACCUCUGUGUAUUGUUGGGUCUCAGGGAGGGGUGCUCCACAAUGGCAUAUCAAUUAUUUUGAAUUACAGUUCCUUAAUAAAUGGCUGGUGCA